rnacentral:rRNA from 1 species
AGUUUGAUCAUGGCUCAGGAUGAACGCUAGCGGGAGGCCUAACACAUGCAAGCCGAGCGGUAGAGAUUCUUCGGAAUCUUGAGAGCGGCGUACGGGUGCGGAACACGUGUGCAACCUACCUUUAUCUGGAGGAUAGCCUUUUCGAAAGGGAAGAUUAAUACUCCAUAAUAUAUUGAUUGGCAUCAAUUGAUAUUGAAAGCUCCGGCGGAUAGAGAUGGGCACGCGCAAGAUUAGUUAGUUGGUGAGGUAACGGCUCACCAAGACGAUGAUCUUUAGGGGCCUGAGAGGGUGAUCCCCCACACUGGUACUGAGACACGGACCAGACUCCUACGGGAGGCAGCAGUGAGGAAUAUUGGUCAAUGGGUGCAAGCCUGAACCAGCCAUCCCGCGUGAAGGACGACUGCCCUAUGGGUUGUAAACUUCUUUUGUAUAGGGAUAAACCUACCCUCGUGAGGGUAGCUGAAGGUACUAUACGAAUAAGCACCGGCUAACUCCGUG